rnacentral:rRNA from 1 species
AGAGUUUGAUCAUGGCUCAGAUUGAACGCUGGCGGCAUGCCUUACACAUGCAAGUCGAACGGCAGCACGGGGGCAACCCUGGUGGCGAGUGGCGAACGGGUGAGUAAUAUAUCGGAACGUGCCCUGGAGUGGGGGAUAACUAGUCGAAAGAUUAGCUAAUACCGCAUACGAUCUAAGGAUGAAAGUGGGGGAUCGCAAGACCUCAUGCUCCUGGAGCGGCCGAUAUCUGAUUAGCUAGUUGGUGGGGUAAAAGCCUACCAAGGCGACGAUCAGUAGCUGGUCUGAGAGGACGACCAGCCACACUGGGACUGAGACACGGCCCAGACUCCUACGGGAGGCAGCAGUGGGGAAUUUUGGACAAUGGGGGCAACCCUGAUCCAGCAAUGCCGCGUGUGUGAAGAAGGCCUUCGGGUUGUAAAGCACUUUUGUCCGGAAAGAAAUCCCUUGGGAUAAUACCUCGGGGGGAUGACGGUACCGGAAGAAUAAGCACCGGCUAACUACGUGCCAGCAGCCGCGGUAAUACGUAGGGUGCAAGCGUUAAUCGGAAUUACUGGGCGUAAAGCGUGCGCAGGCGGUUGUGCAAGACAGAUGUGAAAUCCCCGGGCUUAACCUGGGAACUGCAUUUGUGACUGCACGGCUAGAGUGUGUCAGAGGGGGGUAGAAUUCCACGUGUAGCAGUGAAAUGCGUAGAUAUGUGGAGGAAUACCGAUGGCGAAGGCAGCCCCCUGGGAUAACACUGACGCUCAUGCACGAAAGCGUGGGGAGCAAACAGGAUUAGAUACCCUAGUAGUCC